CUACGGGUUGCUGCAGUGAGGAAUAUUGCACAAUGGGGGGAACCCUGAUGCAGCAACGCCGCGUGGAGGAUGGCGCAUUUCGGUGUGUAAACUCCUUUUAUAUGUCAAGAAAAUGACGGUAGCAUGUGAAUAAGCACCGGCUAACUCCGUGCCAGCAGCCGCGGUAAUACGGAGGGUGCAAGCGUUAAUCGGAAUCACUGGGGCGUAAAGGACGCGUAGGCGGGUUGGAAAGUCAGGUGUGAAAUCCUACAGCUUAACUGUAGAACUGCACUUGAAACUUCUAAUCUAGAGUAUGGGAGGGGGAGAUGGAAUUAGUGGUGUAGGGGUAAAAUCCGUAGAUAUCACUAGGAAUACCUAAAGCGAAGGCGAUCUCCUGGAACAUUACUGACGCUAAGGCGUGAAAGCGUGGGGAGCAAACAGGAUUAGAUACCCUAGUAGUC
rnacentral:rRNA from 1 species